AGCUCAUCGCACAUUAAAAGAAUGUUUAUUAAAACAAAAAGGGGGAAUAGGCUAUGGUAAAACACCAAGGGAACAAUUAUCUUUUGCUCUCUUCACCUUAAAUUUUUUAAAUUUGGAUUCUCAGGGUCUGUCUGCUGCAGACCGGCAUCAGAAUCAGGCCCCCGCCUGGAAGGGAUACAUCAAAUGGAAAGAUGUAAUUACGGGUCUAUGGCAUGGACCAGACCCAGUUUUAGCAUGGGCGAGAGGUUCUGUUUGUGUUUUUCCUCAGGAUCAGCAAGAUCCGGUGUGGAUUCCAGAAAAACAGUGCCCUAAAAUGGCGAAUGUAAAGCAUCAUAUGUGAUGGCUAUUCUUGUUUGUCAACUUGACUAUAUCUGGAAUUUUAAAAAAAAAACAAAACCCACAAGCAAUAGGGAACACCUGUGAGGGAGUUUUAAUUAAUUGGAUCAUUUGAGCUCAGAAGAUCCACCGAAAUGCUGGGCCACACUUUCUCCUGUCAUUUAUUGUCUCUGGCAAGUACCUGAGGAAUUACUUCACUGGUGUUAAAGCCUGCUUCUUCGAGAUUCUGACAUACAUUGAAGAAGUGCUGAGACAUCCAGCCUCGUGGACUGAACAGCUAUUGAAUUCUUGGAUAUUCUGUUGGGAUGCAGCUAUCAUCAUACCCGCUAGACCCCCAGCCUGUAAGCCACUCUAAUAAAUCAUUUCUGUUCCUCUAGAGAAUCCUGAUAAAUCAGUAUACUUAAAUUUCCUCCAUUGGAAAGCUGUUCCUUCCUGUGCUCUGAUAACCCACAAAGUCAGGGCAGAGUGCUUUUCCCUUUGCCACAGGAGCGAGGAGACAUACAGAUGGGGAGGCGUGAAGUUCAAAAGCCUAGCUGACUUGAUGGACUUAAGAAGUGCAUGAAGUACAGUUGCCUUGGUUGUGCUGUCUUUUCAAAGCAAUAGAACAAUGACUACGACAAAGAAGAAGGCCUUUUUGUACUAUAGAGCUUUUUAAAACUAAGGUUUAGUGCUGCAGAGAUGGCUCAGUGAGUAAGAGCACUGGCUAUUCUUCCAGAAGUCCUGAAUUCAAUUCCCAGCAACCACAUGGUGGCUCACAACCAUCUGUAAUGAGAUCUGGUGCCCCCUUCUCAUUGAAGCAGAAUACUGUGUCCAUAAUAAAUAAAUAAAUCUUUUAAAAAACAAACAAACAAAAAACCUACA